UACGGGGGGAGCAAGCGUUGUUCGGAUUUACUGGGCGUAAAGGGCGCGUAGGCGGUCAGCACAAGUCAGUUGUGAAAUCUCCCGGGCUUAACUCGGAAAGGUCAACUGAUACUGUGCGACUAGAGUGCGGAAGGGGCAACUGGAAUUCUCGGUGUAGCGGUGAAAUGCGUAGAUAUCUGGAGGAACACCGGUGGCGAAGGCGGCAUCCUGGACCAAUAUUGACGCUGAGGAGCGAAAGCUAGGGGAGCAAACGGG
rnacentral:rRNA from 1 species